rnacentral:rRNA from 1 species
GGUUAAGUGACUAAGCGUACACGGUGGAUGCCUUGGCAGUCAGAGGCGAUGAAGGACGUAUUAACUUGCGAUAAGCCCAGAUUAGGUAGUAAAAACCAUUUGAGUCUGGGAUUUCCGAAUGGGGAAACCCAAUACCAUAAGGUAUUACUGUUGAGUGAAUACAUAGCUCAACAGGGCGAACCGGGGGAACUGAAACAUCUAAGUACCCCGAGGAAAAGAAAUCAACCGAGAUUCCGAAAGUAGCGGCGAGCGAAAUUGGACUAGCCCUUAAGCUUUACACGCGUUAGACGAACAGCCUGGAAAGGCCGACGAUACAGGGUGAUAGUCCCGUAGUUGACGACGUGUGUUCAGUGAAAUCGAGUAGGGCGGGACACGUGAUAUCCUGUCUGAAUAUGGGGGGACCAUCCUCCAAGGCUAAAUACUACUGACUGACCGAUAGUGAACCAGUACCGUGAGGGAAAGGCGAAAAGAACCCCUGUGAGGGGAGUGAAAUAGAACCUGAAACCGUGUACGUACAAGCAGUAGGAGCAGGCUUUGUCCUGUGACUGCGUACCUUUUGUAUAAUGGGUCAGCGACUUAUAUUCAGUGGCAAGGUUAACCAUCUAGGGGAGCCGUAGGGAAACCGAGUCUUAACUGGGCGUUCAGUCUCUGGAUAUAGACCCGAAACCAGGUGAUCUAGCCAUGGGCAGGUUGAAGGUUGAGUAACAUCAACUGGAGGACCGAACCGACUAAUGUUGAAAAAUUAGCGGAUGACUUGUGGCUAGGGGUGAAAGGCCAAUCAAACCUGGAGAUAGCUGGUUCUCCCCGAAAGCUAUUUAGGUAGCGCCUCGGACGAAUACUACUGGGGGUAGAGCACUGUUAAGGCUAGGGGGUCAUCCCGACUUACCAACCCUUUGCAAACUCCGAAUACCAGUAAGUACUAUCCGGGAGACACACGGCGGGUGCUAACGUCCGUCGUGGAGAGGGAAACAACCCAGACCGCCAGCUAAGGUCCCAAAUUACUACUAAGUGGGAAACGAUGUGGGAAGGCUCAGACAGCCAGGAUGUUGGCUUAGAAGCAGCCAUCAUUUAAAGAAAGCGUAAUAGCUCACUGGUCGAGUCGGCCUGCGCGGAAGAUGUAACGGGGCUAAGUAGUAAACCGAAGCUGCGGCAAUGCACUUUAGUGCGUUGGGUAGGGGAGCGUUCUGUAAGCGGUUGAAGGUGUGUGGUAACGCAUGCUGGACGUAUCAGAAGUGCGAAUGCUGACAUGAGUAACGAUAAAGGGGGUGAAAAACCUCCUCGCCGGAAGACCAAGGGUUCCUGUCCAACGUUAAUCGGGGCAGGGUAAGUCGACCCCUAAGGCGAGGCCGAAAGGCGUAGUCGAUGGGAAACGGGUUAAUAUUCCCGUACUUCUUACAAUUGCGAUGGGGGGACGGAGAAGGCUAGGUGGGCCUGGCGACGGUUGUCCAGGUUCAAGUGCGUAGGCU